UUCGGUAAAGAGCGGCGGACGGGUGAGUAACGCGUGGGUAACCUACCCUGUACACACGGAUAACAUACCGAAAGGUAUGCUAAUACGGGAUAAUAUAUUUGAGAGGCAUCUCUUGAAUAUCAAAGGUGAGCCAGUACAGGAUGGACCCGCGUCUGAUUAGCUAGUUGGUAAGGUAACGGCUUACCAAGGCGACGAUCAGUAGCCGACCUGAGAGGGUGAUCGGCCACAUUGGAACUGAGACACGGUCCAAACUCCUACGGGAGGCAGCAGUGGGGAAUAUUGCACAAUGGGCGAAAGCCUGAUGCAGCAACGCCGCGUGAGUGAUGAAGGCCUUCGGGUCGUAAAACUCUGUCCUCAAGGAAGAUAAUGACGGUACUUGAGGAGGAAGCCCCGGCUAACUACGUGCCAGCAGCCGCGGUAAUACGUAGGGGGCUAGCGUUAUCCGGAUUUACUGGGCGUAAAGGGUGCGUAGGCGGUCUUUCAAGUCAGGAGUGAAAGGCUACGGCUCAACCGUAGUAAGCUCUUGAAACUGGGAGACUUGAGUGCAGGAGAGGAGAGUGGAAUUCCUAGUGUAGCGGUGAAAUGCGUAGAUAUUAGGAGGAACACCAGUUGCGAAGGCGGCUCUCUGGACUGU
rnacentral:rRNA from 1 species